rnacentral:misc_RNA from 1 species
UCUCCGUUGGUGAACCAGCGGAGGGAUCAUUACAGAGUUGCAAAACUCCCAAACCAUUGUGAACGUUACCUAUCCCGUUGCUUCGGCGGGCGGCCCGGGCCCCGCGCCCGGCGCCCCCCGGCCCCCCGUGGGCGCCCGCCGGAGGUAAACCAAACCCUUGAAUUGCAUGGCCUCUCUGAGUCUUCUGUACUGAAUAGGUCAAAACUUUCAACAACGGAUCUCUUGGUUCUG